GGCCUCGUAGCUCAGGGGAUAGAGCGGCCGCCUCCUAAGCGGCAGGUCGUAGGUUCGAAUCCUACCGGGGUCACCA
rnacentral:tRNA from 4 species